rnacentral:Y_RNA from 1 species
GGCUGGUCCAAUGGUAGUGGGUUUUCAGAACUUAUUAGCAUUCGUGUCACUAAAAUUGGUAUAAAACCCCGCUGCUAAAUUUGGCUUUUA